rnacentral:rRNA from 1 species
CCAACCGGGAUUGCCUUAGUAACGGCGAGUGAAGCGGCAAAAGCUCAAAUUUGAAAUCUGGCACCUUCGGUGUCCGAGUUGUAAUUUGAAGAAGUAACUUUGGGUCUAGUCCUUGUCUAUGUUCCUUGGAACAGGACGUCAUGGAGGGUGAGAAUCCCGUAUGGCGAGGAAUCUAGUCCUAUGUAAAGUGCUUUCGACGAGUCGAGUUGUUUGGGAAUGCAGCUCUAAGUGGGUGGUAAAUUCCAUCUAAAGCUAAAUAUUGGCGAGAGACCGAUAGCGAACAAGUACAGUGAUGGAAAGAUGAAAAGAACUUUGAAAAGAGAGUGAAAAAGUACGUGAAAUUGUUGAAAGGGAAGGGCAUUUGAUCAGACAUGGUGUUUUGCGACCCUCGCUCCUUGUGGGGUGGGGUCAUCGCAGCUCACUGGGCCAACAUCAGUUUUGGCGGCAGGAUAAAUCUCUGGGAAUGUAGCUACUCUUCGGAUUAGCAUUAUAGCCCAGGGGAAUACUGCCAGCCGGGACUGAGGACUGCGACUUUUGUCAAGGAUGUUGGCAUAAUGGUUAUAUGCCGC